rnacentral:lncRNA from 1 species
GCACAUGGGUCUAAACCAUGAUCCAACCUCCAAAAACAAACAGUUCUGCUGGCAACAUGGCAAAAACAAACUCUAUAUCUGACUGGAAACAGGAUAGAAAGUAACUCAUGAAAUAACAAAUUAUUCAUAGAGAAAUUUUCCUGAGAUAUAAAAAUAAACAAUUUCCUUAGCCCAAGAAACUAAGUGUGAACUUUCCUUUUUUGACAUUACAAAUAUGAAGAAUUCACUUCAGAGGUAUUGAUGCAAGAAGAGAUUGAAGCUAAAUUCUUUGACGUGACAGUGGUCAAAUCUUAAGGAGAGAGAGAACAAUAUGGAUUAGUCUGCUGCAAUUGUCCCUUCUAACAUAUGCAAAUACAUAAAUAUUUUGACAUUUCCAUGUGUAUGACACCUUUAAUAUCAAAAGAUAUAUUCACCUGCAGAAGAAGCUAGAAUUUUGAGGAAAAGCUCAUUCAGUAUGAAGUGCAUGAGAAUGUGGUGGUGUUCUAUAAAAGAUCAAAGCACAUAGCAUUUUGGCAGAGCCCAGCUAUGUUUACCUAAUACUCUUGACAUGGCUGCUUUCUAAGUACUGCUGAAGGAACAGUCUGCCUACAGAUGCAACUUCUAACAAGAUUCAACAUUGUUACAUAGUAGGUCAAGAAACACCUUGUGGAAAUGUUUUAGAAUCUGCAUCACUGCCACUAUGAAGAUCCUGAGUACUUCACACACUAAUAUUAAGCAUCACAGCCUCACUGUGGAACAUGCAUAUUCUAGCAGACCUUUUUCUGAUGAACUGAAUAUGAUUUUUGUCAAGCUGCGAAGUGAGGCACUGACAAAGUCAUCAGUAGAAUGCUAAUAAGUGGACAUCCAUGCUGAGGAUAAACCCCACUUACAUGUAAAUGGUGUAUAAAGGUGAGAACUGCAAUAUUGCAAUAGAUUAUCCUGAGUUACAAGAGACCCAAAAGUAUCAUUGAGUCCAACUCUUUGUUCCACACAGGAAACUGUAUUUCUGAGAGUGUUGUCCAAACACUUCUUGAACUCAAACAGAGAACAUAUGUGAAGUUGUGCCUUAUUUCUCUUGCAUUUGGUUAUUUGAUGUUUUGUUUGACUUUGUCAGUAUAACAAUACAACUUUUAAAAUUAAAUAUAUGUAUAUGUUUUCUAUGUUUGGCAAGUUCAAAUAAAAGGUUUAGUUAUCCGAAA